AGCGGCGGACGGGUGAGUAACACGUGAGCAACCUGCCCAUCACUGCGGGAUACCACCUCGAAAGGGGUGUUAAUACCGCAUAAGCCCACGAAGGCGGCAUCGUCAGGUGGGAAAAGCCGAAAGGUGAUGAUGGAGGGGCUCGCGGCCCAUUAGCUAGUUGGUGAGGUAACGGCCCACCAAGGCGACGAUGGGUAGCCGACCUGAGAGGGUGACCGGCCACACUGGAACUGAGACACGGUCCAGACACCUACGGGUGGCAGCAGUAGGGAAUUUUGGGCAAUGGGGGAGACCCCGACCCAGCGACGCCGCGUGAGCGAUGAAGGCCUUCGGGUCGUAAAGCUCUGUCUUCGGGGACGAAGGACUGACGGUACCCGGAGAGGAAGCCCCGGCUAACUACGUACCAGCA
rnacentral:rRNA from 1 species